GUCGAACGGCAGCACGGGAGCAAUCCUGGUGGCGAGUGGCGAACGGGUGAGUAAUAUAUCGGAACGUGCCCAGUCGUGGGGGAUAACGUAGCGAAAGCUACGCUAAUACCGCAUACGAUCUAUGGAUGAAAGCGGGGGAUCGCAAGACCUCGCGCGAUUGGAGCGGCCGAUAUCAGAUUAGGUAGUUGGUGGGGUAAAGGCUCACCAAGCCGACGAUCUGUAGCUGGUCUGAGAGGACGACCAGCCACACUGGGACUGAGACACGGCCCAGACUCCUACGGGAGGCAGCAGUGGGGAAUUUUGGACAAUGGGCGCAAGCCUGAUCCAGCAAUGCCGCGUGCAGGAUGAAGGCCUUCGGGUUGUAAACUGCUUUUGUACGGAGCGAAAAGGCUUCCACUAAUACUGGGGGCUCAUGACGGUACCGUAAGAAUAAGCACCGGCUAACUACGUGCCAGCAGCCGCGGUAAUACGUAGGGUGCAAGCGUUAAUCGGAAUUACUGGGCGUAAAGCGUGCGCAGGCGGUUAUGUAAGACAGAUGUGAAAUCCCCGGGCUUAACCUGGGAACUGCAUUUGUGACUGCAUAGCUAGAGUACGGUAGAGGGGGAUGGAAUUCCGCGUGUAGCAGUGAAAUGCGUAGAUAUGCGGAGGAGCACCGAUGGCGAAGGCAAUCCCCUGGACCUGUACCGACGCUCAUGCACGA
rnacentral:rRNA from 1 species